GAUGAACGCUGGCGGCGUGCCUAAUACAUGCAAGUCGAGCGAACGGACGAGAAGCUUGCUUCUCUGAUGUUAGCGGCGGACGGGUGAGUAACACGUGGAUAACCUACCUAUAAGACUGGGAUAACUUCGGGAAACCGGAGCUAAUACCGGAUAAUAUUUUGAACCGCAUGGUUCAAAAGUGAAAGACGGUCUUGCUGUCACUUAUAGAUGGAUCCGCGCUGCAUUAGCUAGUUGGUAAGGUAACGGCUUACCAAGGCAACGAUGCAUAGCCGACCUGAGAGGGUGAUCGGCCACACUGGAACUGAGACACGGUCCAGACUCCUACGGGAGGCAGCAGUAGGGAAUCUUCCGCAAUGGGCGAAAGCCUGACGGAGCAACGCCGCGUGAGUGAUGAAGGUCUUCGGAUCGUAAAGCUCUGUUAUUAGGGAAGAACAUAUGUGUAAGUAACUGUGCACAUCUUGACGGUACCUAAUCAGAAAGCCACGGCUAACUACGUGCCAGCAGCCGCGGUAAUACGUAGGUGGCAAGCGUUAUCCGGAAUUAUUGGGCGUAAAGCGCGCGUAGGCGGUUUUUUAAGUCUGAUGUGAAAGCCCACGGCUCAACCGUGGAGGGUCAUUGGAAACUGGAAAACUUGAGUGCAGAAGAGGAAAGUGGAAUUCCAUGUGUAGCGGUGAAAUGCGCAGAGAUAUGGAGGAACACCAGUGGCGAAGGCGACUUUCUGGUCUGUAACUGACGCUGAUGUGCGAAAGCGUGGGGAUCAAACAGGAUUAGAUACCCUGGUAGUCCACGCCGUAAACGAUGAGUGCUAAGUGUUAGGGGGUUUCCGCCCCUUAGUGCUGCAGCUAACGCAUUAAGCACUCCGCCUGGGGAGUACGACCGCAAGGUUGAAACUCAAAGGAAUUGACGGGGACCCGCACAAGCGGUGGAGCAUGUGGUUUAAUUCGAAGCAACGCGAAGAACCUUACCAAAUCUUGACAUCCUUUGACAACUCUAGAGAUAGAGCCUUCUCCUUCGGGGGACAAAGUGACAGGUGGUGCAUGGUUGUCGUCAGCUCGUGUCGUGAGAUGUUGGGUUAAGUCCCGCAACGAGCGCAACCCUUAAGCUUAGUUGCCAUCAUUAAGUUGGGCACUCUAAGUUGACUGCCGGUGACAAACCGGAGGAAGGUGGGGAUGACGUCAAAUCAUCAUGCCCCUUAUGAUUUGGGCUACACACGUGCUACAAUGGACAAUACAAAGGGCAGCGAAACCGCGAGGUCAAGCAAAUCCCAUAAAGUUGUUCUCAGUUCGGAUUGUAGUCUGCAACUCGACUACAUGAAGCUGGAAUCGCUAGUAAUCGUAGAUCAGCAUGCUACGGUGAAUACGUUCCCGGGUCU
rnacentral:rRNA from 1 species